CAGAUCUCUCUCAUCUCCGUUCUAAGUGCCAUCCAUUCUCAUCCUUUGUCUUUGGCCCUGCUGUCUUGGCUUUAUUCCAUCCAUUGAAUCUCCACCUUUGGCCUCACAUUUGAACCUAGUUAGCAUUUGAACCUUGCACGUCGUGCUGGUUUUCUGGCUUUGGACACAUCAGGGGACAGACAGCUCAUGUUGUUACAGAUAAAAUUGUCCAACCUUUCACUCGCCCUGGAAGAAAAGGCCAAUUUAGCAUCAUCCAUCUUCCAGCAUAAGCUCUAGUUCUACCACCAUCUUUUGAUGUCCUCAAGCUUCUAGUGACAUCUGGCCAUUCAGCCCUACCGAAGUCCUGCUUACAUCCUAAUGGACUAUUGAUUGGAAGAAGAGCAUGUACGACUGGAGCUGUGCCCCUUUCAGUGGACAGAGUUUAGGCAUAAUACUUCAUCUCUUUUUCAUCACAAGCUUGGACAGUUCGAGGCUAGAGAUGACUCAGAGCUGGAGGCUGGAAUCAUAUAAGGUCUGGAGGUCAGGAACCCAGAAUCAGUUUCACUGGCUUGAAAUAGAGCUGUCAGCUGGCCCUUGCUCCUUCCUAAGACAUUAGGAGGUGAUCUGUUUCCUUGUCUUUCCCAGAUGCAAGAAUAGAAUUCUCUCUAUGCCUUGAUUCUUGGUCUCUUCCAUCUUGAAAGCCUGCAGUGUAACAUCUUGCUUCAUCAGUCAUAACUACUCCUUCUCUUAGAAUAAAAUCUUCUAUUUCCCCCCAAAAAGACUAUUACAAUUAAAAUCAGAACCUCUCUGCAUAAACCUCCAUUUUUCUAGCUCUUAAUCACAUCUGCCAGUUUCUGUUUGCCAUAUAAGAUAGCAUUCACCAGAUAAGAACUUAGAAAUCUUCGGAAGCAAAGAUAUACUCCUAUAUUUUUUUCAUUGUAGAUAAAGCUCCACGGAAGCAGAACCUAGAUUAAAGUUCAGAUC